rnacentral:lncRNA from 1 species
AUCGAAACUGGAAACUGAAGCAGAGGUGGUUUUCACUUCCUUACACUCUUGCCAGCAUUAGCCACACCCUGGUGUCUCUCAGCCAGUUUAAGCUGGUGUUAAAGUAGACAAGCAGACUGGUUAAGACCACCAAGACUAAAUGAAGUUGUUUGUCACAGACAUCUUAGGAGGAAGAGAAUACAGAUACCAGACAUUUUCUUUACUAAAAUGGACAGUUUUUUUUUCUUUCUUUUUUUCCUUUUAAAAGAUUUUUUAUAUAGAAGAAAUCUGAAAAUUUGGAGGCAGCACCGGCUUUUUUUAAAUGAAGAAUGGUGUAUAUGAACUGAGUCUGUCUGCAUGAUGCAGCUCUGAUUUCUUGGAAUAGAAACCCUAACUAAGACACAUCCCUAAGCAGAAACUACUGCGGUAAGUAGUUCAACUCUGCCUGUCCUUGAACUUCAGUGAGAUCCACUCACACAGUGUGUUCUCUGUGCUGGUGGCACUGUAGUUCCUUUCCUCUUACUUCACUGACACUUACUCUGUGUGGCUGAGUUAGCACUUCACUUCUUUUUUCUCCAUGAGCCUUCUUUGUCUACCUCAAUAUGUUAUGAAGUAAAGUUAACCACGAAAGAAUCUGGCGUGUCCUGUGUCUGUUUCUGCUGGCGGGAACAGGCUCAGGAUACUUGGUGCUCGAAACCCGGGGAAAAAACGCCUUAACAACGUGCAGCACCAGGGAGGAGACCCUCAGACCAACCGGAGCAGGUUCAGAACCAUGGUGGAUUCAGCUCCGAGAGAAUACUGAUACGGGUGAAGAAAAUCUACUUUGGGUCCCAAUGCGACUGAAAAGGACUGUGAAAGAACAAUAUGAACCCCAAGAUGAUUCUCUUACUCCUGAUGAUUGAGACCGGGAUAAGUAUACCCUUGUAGGCCAAAGUAAGAUCAUGGCCAGUACCUUUACCGGUACAGUCCAAUUUGUCUACCUAGCCUUUAUUUUUUGCAAAGGAAUGUUUU